rnacentral:lncRNA from 14 species
AACAACUCCAAAAGGAAGUGGAAGCCAUGAGACUUGUCCAAGAAUUGAUCUUUGGAUUAUUUGGCUGCAGUGAAGCUCUGUGAUAUGUGUGCAUGCUGCCUGGUGCAUAGGUGGCUCAUGGAAACCCACAGCUGCUCCUUCACUAGAGACCAUGAAACCACAGUUGCAGUCGGGAGGAAUGAUGGCCACUUCAGCAGUACCUCAAGAUGUCACUGCACGAGAGGAGUCUCCCCAACCUCAGGAGUAAGACAUGGCUGCCCAAUUGGAACAUCAGUAGAGAGCCACUGAAAGGGGGAUUGCUGUGCAGACAGAAGAUUAACACAGACUGAUGACAAGCACUGAUUGUCUUCUUUUCAAUGAAUAAACUUGAGAUCUUCAGCCUUUAAGAUAUAUUU